UCUGCUUUCUCUUAACACCCAUGGUUCCACCAGGUACUGCAGAGAAAAGCGUAAUACCUGUACUUGAGGGCGAUAGCCGAGAGGGGGUGUCCAUGUGGCACCCGCCUUAUCAGGUAGCUGAUAAUUUCAACACCCUGAUAAGAUUUUUCACAUGAAAACUGGCCAGUCGCGACCGAUGAUGGCUGCUUGAAACAAUUCUAUUUCGCAUUUGUUGAACAAACAUUUUCUAUUAAAACUCACCUUGCCGCAUGGAUUAGAAUAACCCACGUGGCUAUCCAUGCGUCGUACAGGCUCAAUAUUUUUCAAUCAGGUAGAAGCGUGGAGGUGGUCAAGAUAUUCGAGGGCAACCCAGGUAAGAUGCUGAUUGCAAUUUUAUACUAAAUUGUACACUCACUAUUCAUGUGCUAAGUUGUCUGAAUCGGAUUUUUUGGGAAUUAACUAGAUCAUCGUUUCUCAUACUUGACUUUGAGCACCCAAAGCAGUGCUGAAAAGUAGCACUUUUCAAUUCUGUUUCUUUUGUUAGGAAAAGUAGGCCAUUAUGUUGCUCAUUCAAUUCAUGAAAAGUAGGCUAAUAAGCAACGGAAUAGCAAAAAAUAUGUUUUUUCAUUUUUAUUUUUUUGUUCCUUAUUUAUUUUUAUC